GCACAAGUCAUGCGUUUUGACAAAUGUUGAUCUAUAUUUUCAAUAUUAACCCCAUUAAGCACCAGCGUUCUCCUCUCAAGACAGAGUAAAAAAAAUAAAAUAGGUCGCAAUGCGACUCAAUGGGUUAACUAUAAACACAGGCAAAUAGGCCAGUUAACCCAUUAAGCACCAGCGCCCUUACCUUGACGAGUAAAAUCAUCUGGUGUUAGACAGAGUAAAAUAAUAAAUUAGGGCAGAAUGCGACUCAAUGUGUUAACAACACACAUGGGCAGAUAGGCCAGUUAACCCCAUUAAGCACCAGUGCUCUCCCCUUAAUGAGUGAAAUCAUCUGGCAUUAGACAGAGUAAAAUAAUAAAUUAGAGCACAAUGCAACUCAAUGUGUUAACAACACACAUGGGCAGAUAGGCUAGUUAACACAUUAAGUGCCAGCGCUCUGCCCUUAAUAUUGUCCUGCGAUAGGCAGAGUAAAAUAAUAAAUUAGGCCGCAUUAGGGCACAAUGCGACUCAAUGGGUUAACUAUGUACACAUGGGCAGAUAGGCUAGUUAACACAUUAACCGCCAGUGCUCUCCCCUUGAUGAGUAAAAUUGCUAGCGUUAGAUAGCCAGAGUAAAAUAAUAAAUACUUAGUGUGCAUCAGGGCGCAAUGCGACUCAAUGGGUUAUUAACAUCAACAAUGUUUCAAAUGUCAAAUCUGCCAUGCUCAAUAUAAUCAU